rnacentral:rRNA from 1 species
AUACGGAGGAUCCGAGCGUUAUCCGGAUUUAUUGGGUUUAAAGGGUGCGCAGGCGGCCAUUUAAGUCAGCGGUUAAAUCGUGGGGCUCAACCCCAUUCUGCCGUUGAUACUGGGUGGCUUGAUUGCGGUCGAGGUUGGCGGAAUUCGUUGUGUAGCGGUGAAAUGCAUAGAUAUGACGAAGAACACCGAUUGCGUAGGCAGCUGACCAGACCGCAAAUGACGCUCAUGCACGAAAGUGCGGGGAUCGAACAGGAUUAGAUACCCUGGUAGACCGCACAGUAAACGAUGAAUACUUGUUUUCGGCGAUAUAAUGUCGGAGGCAAAGCGAAAGCGAUAAGUAUUCCACCUGGGGAGUACGCCGGCAACGGUGAAACUCAAAUGAAUUGACGGGG